rnacentral:rRNA from 1 species
GAUGAACGCUAGCUACAGGCUUAACACAUGCAAGUCGAGGGGCAGCAUGAACUUGGCUUGCUAAGUUUGAUGGCGACCGGCGCACGGGUGCGUAACGCGUAUCCAACCUUCCCGUUACUCAGGUAUAGCCUUGCGAAAGUAAGCUUAGUCCCUGAUUACAUAUGUUUGCUGCAUGGUCUACAUAUUAAACAUUUAUCGGUAACGGAUGGGGAUGCGUUCCAUUAGGUAGUUGGUGAGGUAACGGCUCACCAAGCCUGCGAUGGAUAGGGGUUCUGAGAGGAAGGUCCCCCACACUGGCACUGAGACACGGUCCAGACUCCUACGGGAGGCAGCAGUGAGGAAUAUUGGUCAAUGGUCGGAAGACUGAACCAGCCAAGUAGCGUGAGGGAUGACUGCCCUAUGGGUUGUACACCUCUUUUAUAUGGGAAUAAACACGAUUACGUGUAGUCUAUUGUAUGUACCUUAUGAAUAAGCAUCGGCUAAUUCCGUGCCAGCAGCCGCCGUAACAC